rnacentral:tRNA from 1 species
GCCGAGGUGGCGAAACUGGUAGACGCACCAGCUUGAGGUGCUGGCGGGGGCAACCCCUUGCAGGUUCGAGUCCUGUCCUCGGCACCA